rnacentral:lncRNA from 1 species
AAGUUCUGCGAAGAGGACGUCCGCCCAGGGUUGAAGGACAUCGUUUGGGCAUGGCAGGGAGACCAUGCCGGCGGCGCCACCAACGAAGAUGGUGGUGAAGAGAAGCAAUGAUGCUUGAGGAGUCGCUGCGCCCUGCGCUCCGCUAUCUAUAAUGGUCUAAUCGCUACUUGCUGUUGUAAUUAACUAAAAUAGUAUGGUAAUAUUUGAGGUGGACGAGAGAUAAUUUGUAGAUUGUUUGUGUUUAGUGAUGGAGAAAUCGACAUGGUUGUAAGAUCACAAC